UAAUCUCCGACGUGGUGUACGGUCAUGUCUGCUGUUUUUUCUUUGUGAGGAGACAGUCAUGAAGCCCAGCCCACACCCAGGAGGAGGGAAGGUGCGAGUCCAGCCCUGUCCUUACGACCAGACAUUCAUCCCCCCCCUGCCUGCUCCAACCCUGGGAUUCUGGAACAGAACAUUUUAACAUAAAAGAACUGAAGUGGAUCUAUGGAAGGCAGCAUAUAUGUGGAUCUUAUUUUUGUACCCAUUCAGCCAGUCUACAUCUUUUGGUUGGGUCCUCUAAGAAAGAAGAAGAAGGAAACAGUGCACAUUUGUCCCUGGUACUGCCAUGUCCUGCUGCUCCACAAAACUGGUGGUCUUCUUCCUUACUUGGAUCAGGCAGCUGAGCCAGGGGAACAAGGAAUUCCAGAGAUGGUGUGAACACACUUGGCAUUUGGUGAUUGGCUGGCGUCCUCCUCUGAUCUCUGAGAAGAGCUGUAAAUUCCUUCACCUUUGUUAGACCUGAAACCACAUCCAUACCCCAAGCUUUAACUGUGACAAUGCCAGAUCCUUAAUCCACCGUGGCGAGCCAGGGAUCGAACCUGUGUCCCAACAAACCUGCAUCCCAGUAUUCCCAAGACACUGCUGAUCUUGUUGUGCUACAGUGGGAACUCCUGAAGAGGCUAUUUAGAUAAAGGAUCUGGAGAGGGAAGAUCAUCCUGGAUUAUGUGAAUGGGCUCUGUUUAAUCACAUGAGUCUUUAAAAGUGGAAGAGCAGAAGGCAGAAGGGUGUGUUAGAAUGAUGCUCUGUGAGAAGGACCUGCUGCCACGGGCUUUGAAGGCGGAGGCAGGGGACCAUGAGCCAAGAAACACGGCCACCUCCACAAGCGGUGCAUGGCCCUCAGCUUACAGUUGGUAAGAACUCAAGGACUGUGGUCCUAUGCCUGAAAGGGACUGAAUUCUUCCAAUAACUAGAAUGAGCAGAAAGCAUUCUUCCUCAGAGCCUCCAGGAAGGAAUACAGCCUACAACUUGAUUUUAGUCUGCUGAGAACCGUGCUGAAUUCCUGACCUCCAAAUCUGCAAAAUAAUAAGUUUUUUUGUCUUAAGCCACUAAGUUUGUAAUAAUUUGCUGUGGCAACAGUAGAAAACUAACACCCUGAGAUAGAGAUAAAAUUUGUUAAUAUCAUAUAGCCAAUAAGACUAUACCUUUUGACUUUUUUUCUCCCCAGAUAGAUGUCUACACGGUGCAUUUAACUUUGUAAAUGUAUGAUUUUUUAACUAAGAGUAAACAGCCAAGUCAAACACAAGUGUAUUACUCUAGAUAAUUAAACAAUUUUUGAGUGCAUAUGUUAAACCAUGUCCCAGUGGACAUUGAAAACACAUCCUACAUUUUUGCCUUAUUUCCAAGUUUAAUUGUUUUGUUUUUCUUUGCAGGUGAAACGGGAAAUAUCAUUUCAUUUUAUAAACAAUAAGCUCCAUAAGGGCAUCACCUUAUUUCUCUUGGCUGAUGUCAUCUUAUCACAAUACUUGACACAUAGCAGGUGCUAAAUGAAUGUUUGUUGAAUGGGUAAAGAAAUGCUUGCAACCUCAUCACUAAUUAUUUCCUCCUAUGAAAUCUGUGAUUCACCCACGCUGAAUUCCUUCAGUUCUUUUAAUAUAAACCAACCAUGUUCUCUCUCACCAUGAGAUUUGUGCAUUUGCUUUUCUUUCUGCCUGGCACCUACACCCCCACUCAGCUUGGCUAACAAGCAGUCAUAUGUUAGGUCUUAGCUUAGACGUGACCCCCUCUGGGAAGUAGUGUCUUGUCACCUCAUCUUCCCACCUGUGACUCUUUCUGCUCUUAGAGCUUCUGUAUUUAAUGCCAUAGCCCUUAAUACAUUGUAUCUGUCUUGUAUGAGCCCCCAUGGAUGGUCUAAUGCAUCGAACUUUAAUAAUUUAGCAUCAGCUCCAGAGUCAGACUGCAUUGAUACACAUCCUGUCUCCACAACUGACUAGUUGUAUUAUUUUAGGUAAGUUAGAUCUUUUUGUGACUCAAUUUUCUCAUCUGUAAAAUGGGGAUAAUAUUAAUAUCUCCACUGCAUACACUGUGGUGAGAAUUAAAUGUUAAGGGCUUAGAAGAGAGCCUGGUGUAUGGCUAGUACAUGGGAAGCCAUUGUUUUUUUAAAUUCCUUGAAAUCAGGAGCACAAACUGUUCACUAUUGUCCUCUGUUUCUGAUGCAGAAUGCUUGAUACUGAGCAAGUGCUCAAGAUCCUUUGGUGACUUGAAUAGAAUUGUGACCCAGUGAGAAGCAUCCUUUUAUCAGACCUGAACUGGAGAUAAAAGAGCAAUGUCUUGAGUGAGAUGAGCUACCCAGAGAGGCUCAACACUAAAGCUAGGAGAGUGCUUCUCCCUAAAAUGUCUGGAAGGCAAAGUGCUGGCCAUGUUGCUCCCUGGAGAAGGCUAUGGAGUCGAGCCUUCUGAUAUAUAAGCGUCGUCACAUCUCAGAUGCAUCAGCCUAGUCCCAAAACAGACAUGGGUUUUAGUAAUGGCAGACCUUCCAUCCCUACCUCCCCCCACCCCACCCACACGCCCCUUCCUCCACCCCAUCCCUGUUCUCCCUGGAUCAGGAAAUUCUCCGCCAGCUUUGAGUCCCAUUACAUUGACCCCAGGGGAUCAGCCCUUGCCGUUUGUUCUGUCUUUUAAAUUUUAUUGGGGUAGAAUUGAUUUACAAUGUUGUAUUAGCUUCAGGCUUAUAGCAAAGUGAAGCGGUUCUGCAUAUACAUACAUCCAUGCUUUCUUCCCAUAUAGGUUAUUACAGAGCGAUGGAUCAGCCUUUGAAUUUCCCUGCAAGGAAUGUCCUGCUGCACGGAGCGCUGUCUGCUCUUUUGUCAUCUUUGCUGCCUCCCUCCCAACCUUCCUUCCUUGAAAAGGCCCACCUUGGCUUCCAUUUCCAAAGAAUCUUGAAGCAGCUUGCCGGUGAGUGGUUGAGCUACUUCCUCCCUAUCUGGUAUGUGGUUUAAUGUGUUCUACCUACCAGGUGAUGUGGUCCUGCUUUACCAGGGGCUUCUUAAGACAGCUGAGACAACAGCUUCUUUCAUUUUUAAUUAGUUGCUUUUAUAAACUAAAUGCAUGUCUUAUUUUAAGAGAGAAAUUAUGUAAAAGAAGAAAAUCAUUAAGGUUUUGUACAUUAUUUUUUACAUUAGUUUAUAAUUUAUAAACUAAUACAUUAUACAUUAGUACUUUUCCCCUUUGUAUUUCAAAUAAUUAUAGUGCUAAAAUAAUUCGUUUUGAAUAAGUCAUUUUCCAAAAUUAAUUGUUGAUGUGAUUGAUUUUCCUGUUUAUCCCCCGAAAGCCUCAACCUACCUGAAAGACUUCCCAAAGGACCCUGAAAUGUAUAUGUAUACUCUUCUAUUUUCUUACUUUUUAUCUUUAUCUCAUUUUUCUUGGUUUUACCACAGGCAUCUAAGUUAGUUAUUUGUUUUUUAAAAUCAUGUAAUCACUAGUAUUUAAUGUAUAUAUAUACACAUAUAUAUAUAUAUAUUUUUUUGUCUUUUUGUCUUUUCUAGGGCCACACCCAUGGCAUAUGGAGUUUCCCAGGCUAGGGGUCUUAGCGGAGCUGUAGCCGCCAGUCUACUCUAGAGCCACAGCAACUCGGGAUCUGAGCCGCGCCUGCGACCUACAUCACAGCUCACAGCAACACAGGAUACUUAACCCACUGAGUGAGCCCAGGGAUCGAACCUGCAACCUCAUGGUUCCUAGUCGGAUUUGUUAAUCACUGAGCCAUGACAGGAACUCCUAUUAUUUUAUAUUGUAGUUUUAUUUUUAUUGUAUAACUGACAUACAUUAUAUUGGUUUCAGUUGUACAACAUUUAGUAUUUGUCUAUGUUGCAAAAUGAUCACCACAAUAUUGUUAACAUCCGUCACCAUAUAUAAUACAGAGUUUUUUUCCUGUGAUGAGAACUUUUAAAAUUGACUGUCUUGACAACUUUAAAAUUCGUAAUACAGUAUUGUUAACAGUCCUUGCUAAGAUAUGCCUUACCUCCCCAUGAUUGUUUAUUUUAUAGCUGGAAGUCUGUACCUGUUUUUAAGAUUUUUAUUUUUUAUAUUAUAGUUGAUUUGCAAUAUCCUGUCAGUUUCUUCUAAACAGCAAAGUGACCCAGUCAUACAUAUGUACGUUCUUUUUCUCACCUUAUCCUCCAUCUUGUUCCAUCACAAGUGACUAAAUAUGGUUCCCUGUGCUAUACAGCAGGAUCUCAUUGCUUAUCCACUCCAAAUGCAGUGGUUUGCACCUACUAACCCCAAACUCCCAGGCCAUCCUACUGCCUCCUCCUCCCCCUUGGCAACCGUGAGUCUGUUCUUCGUUUCUGUGAGUUUGUUUCUUUUCUGUAGGUAGUUUCAUUUGUAUACCUUUUGGCUUCCUUCAACUAUUUGGCUCACGUCUACCCUCCACCUCUGACAACCUCCAGUUCCUUCUCUCUGUCUAAGAGGGUUUUUAUUUUUUCAGAUUCCACAUGUAACUGAGAUCAUGCAGUAUUUGUCUUUCUCUGACUUAUUUUACCCAGCAUAAUGCCCUCAAGGUUCAUUCUUUUGAUCACAAAUGGCAAAAUUUCAUUCUUAUUUAUGGCUGAAUAAUACUCCAUUGAAUAAAUAUACAUCCAGCUCUCUGUAUCUGCA
rnacentral:lncRNA from 1 species